rnacentral:rRNA from 1 species
GUAGGUGGCAAGCGUUGUCCGGAAUUAUUGGGCGUAAAGCGCGCGCAGGGCGGUCCUUUAAGUCUGCUGUGAAAGCCCACGGCUCAACCGUGGAGGGUCAUUGGAAACUGGGGGACUUGAGUACAGAAGAGGAAAGCGGAAUUCCAAGUGUAGCGGUGAAAUGCGUAGAGAUUUGGAGGAACACCAGUGGCGAAGGCGGCUUUCUGGUCUGUAACUGACGCUGAGGCGCGAAAGCGUGGGGAGCAAACAGGAUUAGAUACCCUGGUAGUCCACGCCGUAAACGAUGAGUGCUAAGUGUUAGGGGGUUUCCGCCCCUUAGUGCUGCAGCUAACGCAUUAAGCACUCCGCCUGGGGAGUACGGCCGCAAGGCUA